rnacentral:rRNA from 1 species
AUUGAACGCUGGCGGCAGGCCUAAUACAUGCAAGUCGAACGGUAACAUAAAAGAAGCUUGCUUCUUUUGAUGACGAGUGGCGGACGGGUGAGUAAUAUUUGGGAAACUACCUGAUAGAGGGGGACAACAGUUGGAAACGACUGCUAAUACCGCAUAUAGCCUGAGGGUGAAAGCAGCAAUGCGCUAUCAGAUGUGCCCAAACGGGAUUAGCUAGUAGGUGAGGUAAAGGCUCACCUAGGCGACGAUCUCUAGCUGGUCUGAGAGGAUGAUCAGCCACAUUGGGACUGAGACACGGCCCAGGCUCCUACGGGAGGCAGCAGUAGGGAAUAUUGCACAAUGGAGGAAACUCUGAUGCAGCCAUGCCGCGUGUGUGAAGAAGGCCUUCGGGUUGUAAAGCACUUUCGGAGGGGAGGAAAAGGAUGACGUUACCCUCAGAAGAAG